UGGGCUGAAUACUAGUGUACCCAAUGAGUCGUGCAUUUUUGAAAUGAUCAUUUAUAUAUGAUAGUCCACGCAUAUACGUGAAUUAUAGAAGGUUUUAAAAUAAUAUAUUUAACUUCUAUAAUCACAAAUCAUUUUCCUUCAUUUGCGCGCGCCAUACCGUAGCACCACUGUUAUCCUUAUCAUUUCAUUCGUAGUCCAUGGGCGACCCCUGGGAAGUAAUCAUUCAUUCAUUCAUUAACUAGAUGGGACCCCGGAACGAACCCAUGUCAGCUACACCAUCUAGCCGGAUUAAGGGCGAACCCAAAAUCCUCAUUUCGUCUAUAAGGCUCGUGGGGAUCAAUCCACUACCUUAAGACAGUGCGCACAACUUUUAAUAGGUGUGUCAGACCCAUUAAAAGUCACAAUUGUUAACAUAAGAGCAUUAAAN
rnacentral:lncRNA from 1 species